ACUAAGAAGCCUGUGGUUAAGUCAGCUAAAUGUUAUAUUUCAUUUUAUUUAUUUUGGAUUAACUUAAUUUAUAAUUCAUUUAUAUCAAAAUAAAAUAGCAGUGGAACAACGUGUGAACACGGCCUGUGGUUUGGUACAUCAAUCAAUAUAAAGAUUUCCCCGAUACAGGACAGAUCUCAGAUAAACCCCCUGAAAAAGGAACCUUUACCUUCGCAUUAAACACUUGACUGAAGGACGGACAUAUCGGGAGGCAGCAGUGGUCACGCUGAUGCCAUCUUGGAUCCAGGCAGGGUUCCAUUACCAGGCAGGUGAAGUGGAUGUGAAGUGAAGUACCAUGUCACUCCUGCUGAACCCCCCCGAGGAAGAAGGAACGCGGUUCAAGUGUAGGCGUCCACCCAUCUGACACCGAGACACGCAGUAAACCAAGUGCCACUCAGGACAAACAGGACCGACUUUCUUUCUUUCUCACCAGAAUCCCUGAAGAGUCGACUGUGCAGAAGUCCGACAGUGUUUUCCAUGAAAGUCGAACUGAAACUGAUGGAAGUCUUUGUUAAGAAAUCUAUGAUAAUGUCUGUUUUGUACAUAUUUAUUGAAAACUGUGAUUAGGAUCUUGUAAUUCCUUGUAAGGCGCCUCUUCAGUGUUGAGGUCAACAGGCCAUCGAUCAUUAGGAAUGAAUAAUUUGAUUGGUGCAGAAGAAAACUGAUCAUUAUCACUUCACAUCCACCAGCUGAUGGGGGCGGUGGUGUUGUCAGCUGUUGCGUAGUCCUAAUUUAUAACGGAUAAUUAACAUUCUGGUCAUUUUCCAUGAAUAAGAUGGGUGACUACGUGACGUAGAGUAUAAAAGUUACACUUCUUCUCUUUGACUAAGUAAGAUCCCUAAUCUGUCGACUACAGCAGCUCUUGUUUUCUAACUCUUGGAUAAAACAGGAUGACUGAAUAUACACAAAAAGCUGCAGUAUUAUUAUAGUUUUUAUAUUUCUUCACCAUGUUUUGUGUGUCGGGGGGGUCAAUGGUCAAAUGCACACAGAACACCAGAACAACACAUCAAACAACAAAAGCUUUUUUUUUUAUUAUUAUUUCCAUCAUCACUUUUUUUUUUUUUCCGAGUCAACACUUGGCAGGCAAUAAUUUGUUUUAGGCGGAACGACACGGUGUGAGUUCUAGAGUGAAGCAGUAAGCGGAAAAAUAAAUAAUACUGUGUACAAAAAUACAACCUUCACUGUACAAACGCUGCAGAGUACAAAGCAAAGAGAUGGAGACAGAGCAGACCUCGGUCUCCUCUGGAGGUAUGGCACUUUUAAAUUUUUUUUUUUUUUAAUUUUAAAAGACUGUUUAAAGACUUUUUAAAGACUUUAAGAGCCUGUAAUUCUUCCUUGGAACAAAAAACAAACCAAAAAAACAAAAGCAGAAGCGCAGUUCUGUUAAAAACAACACAUUCAGGUGUGUGUCGCACCGGUGGGUCCGUAACAAACCCCCUGAAAUCUGAAGUCAUGUUUGUGUUUAUCUUUAGUGAGACGCGAUAAGACAAAUACAGAAUAAUGUCUUUUAUUUGUAUAAGCUAAUAAUAAUAAUAAUAAGUUAAAGGUGCACUACAGUUUUUUUUCCCCAGACGGUGUCUGCACACGUGAGUGGUUGUAAAAUGCCUCUGAGAACUGUAAUCACUGGAUGGCAUUGAUUUUCAGUAUUGAUUCUUUAAAUCAAGCCGGUACAAUAUAUAUGUCAAUAGUCAUUUUGUAUUUAGACUUUAAUUGGUUAAUGUACGCUCGUAUGCGCGGCGGACUGUAAACACUCAACAGUAGACAUCAGGGCAAAAAAUCAAUGACUCGGAGGAGCUGCACGGUCAUCGUACCAACAAACACGUUACGCUCUUUUUUUUUGUUUUUUUUUGUUUUGUUGCCCUUUACACUUCAGAGUUACCUGAGAACCUGAAAAAAAAACACAGGAUCCCACACAAACGCAGCCAUUUUUUCAUAGAUAAAGUAACGAUAUGCUUUAAAACCGUGCGAAAAAAAGUUGCAGUUGUCAAAAAACCCAAAAACGAUCAAUUUUCCACAAUGUGUCAAAACAGAUCUGAGGCCACUCAUGCAAACAAGAAAGUGUGCACGCGGUUGGUAAAACUGUCCGGACGUCUCUCUCGUGCGACGUGAAACAAAGAGUGUCAUGCAUUUUUCAUGAAGACCGUUAAAUCAUUCCUUCAUCUUUUUUUUUUUUUUCCUCCGACGGAGCAGCAACACGGCAGAUCAAAACAUGACAAGGAUGACUUUGCAGGAACCGUUUUAUAAAAAAAAGAAAGCAAGCAAAAAAGCUUAUUUCUCUGUCUUCUUCUUUUUUUUUUUUUUUUACGCCACUUGAAGCCAUUCAUGAGUCAAGCGCUGAGCAAAGACACUUCACUUCUUACUAAACACUUUGGGGGGAGGAAAAAAGAUCAGCCGCUGACUCCAGAUAUGUCAGCUUCAACAGCAGCAACCUCGCUCAGUGUCCAUCAUGCAUCAGGGGUAUGCAAAUGCAAAAAAAAAAA